rnacentral:rRNA from 1 species
UACGUAGGGUGCAAGCGUUAAUCGGAAUUACUGGGCGUAAAGCGUGCGCAGGCGGUUGUGCAAGACCGAUGUGAAAUCCCCGGGCUUAACCUGGGAACUGCAUUGGUGACUGCACGGCUAGAGUGUGUCAGAGGGGGGGUAGAAUUCCACGUGUAGCAGUGAAAUGCGUAGAGAUGUGGAGGAAUACCGAUGGCGAAGGCAGCCCCCCUGGGAUAACACUGACGCUCAUGGCACG